rnacentral:lncRNA from 1 species
AUGCAUUCACUGGAAACGCAAAUGGCUCCCAGUUUGAGGAGUGCGCGGAGAGAUUUCACCAAACUGCAUGCCUGCGGCGCGGCGGCUGGAGACGGGCGCUCACCGGGAUGGAUAAGAGUGCGAGAAGCAGGGUGGUAUCGGAGAACCAGGAGAAGAGAUGGAGCAGAAGGGAUGUCUGCAAACUGUCUGUUAUACAUAGGAAUGGUCUUACUUCUGUUGCAGUGUGCGCAGGCCACAGAGGAUGAGACAAACUACGACGCCUCUGGUUCUUCUGAUGUACCCAAUGACACAACAGCCUCCGCCCAUCCCAUUCACCCAUUGGCCGGCUUGCUGUUGGUGGAUGAGGAGCCUUUAUCAGUCGUCCAACCAGAUGGCAGGGCUGUGUCAGAGGGGGUGGGCCUGAGAGAGCAGCCUGCCUUCUCCUCCAUACUGACCCUGCUGGCGGAUAAACACCCACUGAGCUUGGUCCGAUCCAAGACCUCGCCAACCAUCAUCAAGGACAACAACCAAACCAGCCUGUGGCCUUCGGUUGCUCCCUUCUCUUCUUCUUCUUCUUCUGUGGAGCUGAGCAGAGACCUGUCUGACAGCUCAGAGACAGCGAUGGAGGAGUUAACUGUGGGAACAUCCAGAGAGACAGGGGUUAAUUUCCCCAAAGACAACGAGACCAGAUUAUCCCAAACAGGGAACCUCACCUUAGCCGACAGGCCUGCACUCACAACAUCACAGGUGUCACCUUUGACCCCUCGAGAGGACACAACGACUGCAUCCCUCCAGCUCACGACCGUGACCACCACAACCAUAGCUUCCACCACAACCACAACACAGCCAAUCACAGAGAGCCCAACCACGACAACAACACGCAGAACCACCACUGCUCCAGCCUCCAGGAGAACACUGUCACCUCCAAUCCCAAAGACCAAACCCAGAGGGACGACCACCCCGUUCCCCUUCACCACCACCACGGAGGCUCCACCCCGGCAGUGCAACGUCACAGAGAAGAUCUGGGUUAAAACAAUUCUGACCAUCCAUGUGAGAAGGAACCGCCUGGACAGCAUCCAGAGACAGAACCUGCGUAGAGGGCUGACCCAGGCUCUGAGUAGAGCUCUGAAUGACACCACUGCCCUGGCUCAGGUCAGUAGGACUCACACCUACUCUCUCUUUCUCUGUAUGUAUCUCUCUCUCUCUCUGUCUUUGUCUCUGUCUCUCUAUAUCACUCUUUCUCUAUCUCUCUCGCUGUCUUUCAUGUGUGGUGUAGCCUCUGCUGAGUCCUCAACAACUGGAUGUU